rnacentral:lncRNA from 1 species
AACAUAGAACUUUUUCUUUUCUCUCUUAAACUUCUUUCUCAUUUUAGUCUUCUUUAUCUCAGUAUAUUAAAACUUAUGCCAUCUAACCAAUGAUUCAAACCAUAAAAUCUAAAAAUAAACUGUAAUGCUUCCCUUUCUUUUUCUGCCCAUGUCUAAUACAUUUCCAAGACCUGGUGAGUCUGUCUCCCAAAUAUAACUAAAAUCCAUCUGUGUUUUUCCAUCUCUGGUAACUCCACCUUAACCAUUGUUUACCUGGACUUCUCAAGAGCUUCCCAGUUUGUCUUCCUAUUUUUAUCCUUGCUCUGCUUCAGUCCUUUCUCCUCAUUUUUAAAUGCACAGGUCAGAUGAGUUCCACUGGCUAGCAACCCUUCCAUAUCCUCCUGUGUUUUUUUAGGAGAAAAUCCAAAUUCCUUAUUAUAGCCUACAGAACAUGCAAAGCAUUCACGAGCUGUGAUUGCCCUACCCCUCCAAGCAUUUUCACCAAACUUUUCUCUCUGGACUGCUAUGGCUAUAGCCACAUAAGGCUCUUUCUUUCCUUGGUCAUGAAGAGCUCUUUCAUCUUUACCACCAUGCUGAUAUCUCUACCUGAAAUGCUCUGCCCCAACUUUUUACCAGGCUGGGCAUCUUCUCCUUGAGAUCUUCAUUAGAAUAUCACAUGGUUGAAGAAGGUUUUUCUGACCCUCUUUCUGAGAUGACCUUCCUCAGUUACUCUUUUAUCUGCUAGCAGUUACUUCCUUGGCAUUUAUUGUUUGCUUGUUAUUUUUUGGUAUCUGUAUUUCUUGGUAGAAAUAGCUCCAUGAGUGUAGGAACCUUAACUGCCUUUUUCAUCACUGUGAUCCUUGUCCCUAGCAGAGUACCUGGCAUAAAGAAAUAUAAAAAAAAUAUUGUUGAAGACUGAAUGGAAACUAUUGUGGCAAAAGUGACUUGAAAAUCAAGAAACCGUAAUAGUUGUAGUUUGUUCAGUCAUUCAACAAGCAUAUAUUGAAGGCUUACUAUGAGUCAUCCAUGUGAUUUAUUAGAUGAUAGAAUAAAAGAUAAGCAGGUCAAUAUCUCUAAUACUGAAUAUGAACAAAGUAUUAUAGAAAUGCAGCAGAGGGAGUUUGGAGAAUGGAAUGUGUAGUUUUUGUGUGUGUGUGCUUUUUUCUGUUUUUUUAAAUUAAAGCACAAUUGAUUUACAAUGUUGGGCUAAUUUCUGCUGUAUAGCAAAGUGACGCAGUCAUACAAAUAUGUGUGUGUGUGUGUAUAUGUAUAUAUAUAUAUAUAUACAUACAUAUACACAUUUCCUUUCUUAUAUUAUCUUCCAUCAGGGUCUGUCCCAAGAGAUCAGACAUAGUUCCCUGUGCUAUGUAGUAGGAUCUCAUUGCUUAUCUAUUCUAAAUGUAAUAGUUUGCAUCUGCUAACCUCAAACUCCCAGUCCAUCCCACUACUUUCCCCUCCCCCUUUGCAACCACAAGUCUGUAUUCUAUCUGUAAGUCUGUUUCUGUUUUAUAUAUAGGUUCAUUUGUGCCGUAUUUUAGAUUCCACAUAUAAAUGAUAUAUAUGGUAUUUCUCUUUCUUUUUCUUACUUAGUAUGAGAACCUCUAGUUGCAUCCAUGUUGCCACAAAUGGCAUUAUUUCCUUCUUUUUUAUGGCUGAGUAGUGUUCCAUUAUGUAUAUGUACCACACCUUCUUAAUCCAGAGAAGGGAUUUGAUGAGUGGUAUUUGAGCUGCUUCUUGAAGGAUGAAUAGGCUCACAUGCUAGGAAAGGAGAAGAUAUUCUAGACAAGGGAAGAGUAUGCUCAAACACAUAAGGAAAAGAACAUGAACAGCAGGAUUGUAGAAAUGGAGUAUUGACCAUUGCAGUGAUGGGAACAGUGGUGUGAGCUGAAGCAGGCAUGAUAGAUUAGUGCUUGGUAAGGCAGAGCUGGGCCUUCAAAAAAAGGAAGAGAAAACCAUUUUGAAGAGUUUAAGUAGUUCAACAUUAGCAGGUCUGAGUUUUAGAAAUGUAAUUAUAAUAGAAAAUAAUGCAACAAGAGACAGAGAGACAUAGUAUGAUUAUAUUUUAACAGUUCAGGUAAUGGAUGAUGAGGACCUGAACUUGAGGAGUAGAGGAGUAGCACUAGCACUGUGAGCAGAAGAAUGUCCUUCUGUACCCCACUGGCAUUUUGUACCAGCUAGGUCUCCAUUGGCUUUCUGCAAAAUAAGAGGUUUGAUUAGAUAAUCACUAUGAUCCUUUUCAGCAUAAUUAUCCCAUACAUGCCUUAGAAUUUUUCUUUUGUUGUAAAUGUAUCUAUCUAGUUUCCCGAAUAUGAAGAGGCCAUGACAUCUACAUCUUUUUAUCAUGUAUAUAUAGAUAAGUGCAUACAGAAUAGACUGUGAAACAGGAAGGCCUAAACUCAAAUCCUUGAUCUACCACUUUCUGUUGGUAUGACCCUGUCAGUUAUUUAUGCCUUCUAGGCCUCUGUUUUUGUUUUUUUUUUUUCAUCUUUAAAUGGAGAUAUUAACAAUAUCAACUGCAAAAAGUUAAGAUUAAAAGAGGCAAUAAAAGAGUUCCCUUGUGGCACAGUGAGUUAAGGAUCUGGCAUUAUCACCACAGUGACUUAGGUCACUAAUGUGGCACAGGUUUAAUCCCAGGUUAAAGAACUUCUACAUGCCACAGGCAUGACCAAAAAAACCAAAGGGACACAAGGACACAAUAGAGUUAAAGAGUACACAGUUCAGUACACUUCCAGUAUCCAUAAAGAGUAACUAUCAUCAUCAUCAUUAUCUCUUUCUACCUAGUAGAGCGCUAACAUCUAAAAAUACUGUAUUCUCCUGUUGUAGCGCAGUAGAAAUGAACCCAACUAGUAACCAUGAGGACUCAGGUUCUAUCUCUGGCCUCGCUCAGUGGGUUAAUGAUCUGGCAUUGCAGUGAGUUGUGGUGUAGGUUGCAGAUGCGGCUCAGAUCUCGAGUUGCCGUGGCUAUGGUGUAGGUGGGCAGCUGUAGCUCCAUUUCAACCCCUGGCCUGGGAACUUCCAUAUGCCGUGGGUGUGGCCCUAAAAUGCAAAGAAAAAUAAAAAAGUAAAAAAUGCUGUAUUGAUUAGUGAUUGGAUGAGUGUGGUAAAAGAGAAUAAUCAUUCAGGUAAAUUAUGCCAAAUCAAUCUCUAUCAACUUUUUUUCUUGAUUUUUGAAUAAGAUUAUUGUUAACUCUAGGAAAAUAGAUAAGCAACAGCUAAGACUCCAGUGUAAAUCUGCACCUUACCGUAUUUAAGAAGCUUCAUUUGAGUGACAUACAAUCAGGGCAGAUCAGAAGAAUAUGUGGCAGAAUUGCUCAGGUUUUGUGACACUUUUCUAGUUUUUUUUUUUUUUUCUGUUUUUAAAAAUCCAUAAUAGUUAAACCCUUGUUAAUUUGUUUGUUAUAAAUUUUCACAUACCAUCCUGUUGAAAGAUUUUCACAUUAUUUCUGAUCUUGAACUAUUUAUGUGGGUAUAAUUUACUGGCAAUUUCCAGACUCCAGAGCUGCUUUAGUUAGAAUGACUAUUGUAGUCAACUCUGGCUUUUUCUACUUUACUCUUUUAGAAGCACACAUUAUUACACAUCUUUUAUUACUAUAUUCCCUUCAUUUUGUUUCUCCACUUUGGAAGGAUUUCAGAAUGGAGAUAAUGAUAGAGUGCAACAUAAAACUAUCCCCUCACUUGCCAAUGACAUCACCUCUGUCUGUAGAACAGGAAGGGAGGAGGGAUGUUAACUGGGCUGUGUCUGGAACCGCAUAAUGUUGGCUCAAGUCUGUACAUAUCAAGUGCCCUAAGAGCUUUAAAUGGAGUCAGUGGUACAGCAACAUUCAUGUUUGAAAAUGGCAUUGUACCAAACAUACAAUAAUACUGCCAUCUUAGACCUAGGAAAUAUUGGGUUAGAAAAGCUCUGCAAAAAUUCCUUUAAGAAAGAACACAACAUUGAAAGGAGAGAACCUGGUGCUCAUUUUGGCUUUUUAAAUCCCUCUCUUUGUUUCAUUUUAUGGUCUCAAGGUCCUCUUCUCAUUUUAAUAGACUAUGAGUUUUGAAAACUUACCAAAGUUAUUCCUAUUUUAGUUCUUACUCUAUUAACUUCAAUAUAAAAGCAUUUUUGUGGCGUAUUUAAUUUUAAAUGCUUUGAAAUCAAGACUUCUUAGAAAAGGAUAAAAUCUUAGAUUAUGCCACAGGAAAAGCUAAUCAUUUCAGUUUUCCGAAAUGGUCUUACUUCAUCUGCCAAAUGCAAAUUACAAAAAAAGACAGAUUUAUUCCUGUCAGCUGGAAAAUAAAUGUUCCAAAGACUGUAACACAUCUGUAACAUAUAUUGAUAGCUUGGAGGAAAGUUGGGUCAUCUGAGUCCUCACUCAGAAAUUAGAGAAGUGGGGCUGUUGGGGGUCAUGCAGCACAAUUCCCUGUUCUCUGUUCUAUUGUCGAAAGAAUUUUAAAAAGGAGGCAGCGGUGUUGUGUUUGGGGUAGGGGAGUGAGAUGAGAAGGGCAGGAUAGGAGGAGGAGGCCCCAUGGCAGAGAAAGGAGUGGGCAGUGAUGGGGGAGGGAAGGGACACCUUGGGGCUAUUCCAGUGUUGACUGAUUUAUUACAAAGUGUUUGAGAAGGCAAACUGUGCCUCCAUUUCACAGGAAAUGCUCCAUUUGACAGCUAUCUGUGUACUUUCCUUGAGCCCUCCUAUCUCAAAUGUUUCUUCCCCACUGCUGCCAAAAUGAACUUCCUACCAAGAGGGCUAGAUCAGGCCAAUUCUUUAUUUAUAUCCUUUAAUGACUCUCUAUUGUUGCCUGACAGCAGGAAUAGGCAAACUGGCCAAUAGCCCAAAUUUGGAGUAAUGCCUAUUUUUGUACACACAGUUAGUUACAAAUAGUUUUUACAUUUUUAAGUGGUUGAAAAAAGCUUAUUAAAUAAUAUUUGAUGACUUGUGAAAAGUAUAUGAAAUUCCAAUUCCAAUCUCCAUGCUCAUUCAUUUUCGUAUUAGCUGUGGCCACUUUUGUGAAGUUGAGUCAAAGCCAUAUGGUCCUCUGAGCCUAAAGUAUUUACUAUCUGGCCUUUU